rnacentral:rRNA from 1 species
AUUGAACGCUGGCGGCAGGCUUAACACAUGCAAGUCGAGCGGAGAGAGGUAGCUUGCUACUGAUCUUAGCGGCGGACGGGUGAGUAAUGCUUAGGAAUCUGCCUAUUAGUGGGGGACAACAUUUCGAAAGGAAUGCUAAUACCGCAUACGUCCUACGGGAGAAAGCAGGGGAUCUUCGGACCUUGCGCUAAUAGAUGAGCCUAAGUCGGAUUAGCUAGUUGGUGGGGUAAAGGCCUACCAAGGCGACGAUCUGUAGCGGGUCUGAGAGGAUGAUCCGGGACAAUGGGACUGAGACACGGCCCAGACUCCUACGGGAGGCAGCAGUGGGGAAUAGUGGACAAUGGGCGCAAGCCUGAUCCAGCCAUGCCGCGUGUGUGAAGAAGGCCUUAUGGUUGUAAAGCACUUUAAGCGAGGAGGAGGCUACUUUAGAUAAUACCUAGAGAUAGUGGACGUUACUCGCAGAAUAAGCACCGGCUAACUCUGUGCCAGCCGCCGCAGUAAUAC